UGUAGAAUCAGUGGGAGCCCUGAGCUUGUUUUCUUGCAACUAGAUGGUCCCAUCUGGGGUUGAUGGGAGACAGUGACAGAUCAUCAGGCGUUAGAUCUCAUAAGGAGCGGGCAGCCUACAUACCUUUCUUGCACAGUUCACAAUAGGGUUCGUGCUUCUGUGAGAGUCUAAUGCUGCUGCCGAUCUGACAGGAGAGUUUAAUCUGCUUGGCACAGAAGAAGUUAACAUUUCUCAGCCUCCUUAUAGAUAGAUUGGAACCAUGUGACUGAGUUUUGUCAAACAAGAAUGUGAGUGGAAGUGACUGAUGUCUUUCUUCUGGUCCAAGGCUCUACCAUCUGGCUUGCCCCUACGGUCUCUUAUCCCUUUCGUUGACUGUGGAGGCCACAGGAUGAAACAGAAGAGUCCCAAGAUGCAAACAGCCUGGAUCCCUGAGUCACCCUGUGGAGGAGAGGAACCUUGCCCAAUCUGCAUUGAACUUGACAUGAGAAAUAAACAUUUCUAGUCUAACCGGACAAAUACAUAUAGUUAGAAAGUGUAGGAAGGUGAAUUUACUAGAAAACUCAAGAAGUGACCCAGAAUGGAUCAGCAUAGGGUAAGGCUAGGAUACCUCUCAGAAUUCCUGGCAUUGUAUCUUGCAGUUUGGUACAAGAUGGAAGCUGAGAGAGUGGGACAUUUCCACAAUUAGUUCCAUAGUUAAUUUAGAAUAUAAUUUACAUGAGUGUUAGUAAUGUUGGAAGUCAUAUGGCAGAUUUCUAAUUUAAGUACUGAAGUCAUUCUUGCUCAUGAGUUUCUGAAUGUGAUUAGCCUUUAAAUCAGACCUUGAGUAAAACAGAUUACCCUCUACAGUGUGGAUGGGCCUCAUCCAAUCAGUGGAAGGCAUCAAGAGAAAAGGCUGAGGUCCCCCAGAGAAGAAAGAAUUCUGCCUCUAGACUACCCUUGGACUCAGGACCGCAACACCAACUCUUUGCUUGGUCUCUAGCCUGCUGGCUUGCUUUGCUGGUUUAGGACUUUUAGCCCUCAGAAUUGUGUGAGCCACAAGAAAUAUUAAAUAAAACUCCUCCCUUUCUCUGUUUUGUAUAUACAUACACGUAUAUAUGUAUAUUAUACAUAUACACAUAUAUUUAGUGUACAUAUGAAUAUACAAUGUAUAUUCAUAUAUACAUACGUGAGUGUUUAUACAAUGUAUAUUAGUUUUGUUUCUCUGGAGAACCCCGAAUAAUUCAUAUUUGGGUGCAGAAUGGGA
rnacentral:lncRNA from 1 species